UACGUAGGGUGCGAGCGUUGUCCGGAAUUAUUGGGCGUAAAGAGCUCGUAGGCGGCUUGUCGCGUCGGAUGUGAAAGCCCGGGGCUUAACUCCGGGUCUGCAUUCGAUACGGGCAGGCUAGAGUUCGGUAGGGGAGAUCGGAAUUCCUGGUGUAGCGGUGAAAUGCGCAGAUAUCAGGAGGAACACCGGUGGCGAAGGCGGAUCUCUGGACCUCUGCUGACGCUGAGGCGCGAAAGCGUGGGGAGCGAGCCGG
rnacentral:rRNA from 1 species